CGCCUUAUACUCCUACGGGAGGCAGCAGUGGGGAAUUUUGGACAAUGGGCGCAAGCCUGAUCCAGCCAUGCCGCGUGUGGGAAGAAGGCCUUCGGGUUGUAAACCACUUUUGUCAGGGAAGAAACGGUUUGUCCUAAUACGGCGGACUAAUGACGGUACCUGAAGAAUAAGCACCGGCUAACUACGUGCCAGCAGCCGCGGUAAUACGUAGGGUGCAAGCGUUAAUCGGAAUUACUGGGCGUAAAGCGUGCGCAGGCGGCUUUGCAAGACAGAUGUGAAAUCCCCGGGCUCAACCUGGGAACUGCAUUUGUGACUGCAUGGCUAGAGUACGGUAGAGGGGGAUGGAAUUCCGCGUGUAGCAGUGAAAUGCGUAGAUAUGCGGAGGAACACCGAUGGCGAAGGCAAUCCCCUGGACCUGUACUGACGCUCAUGCACGAAAGCGUGGGGAGCAAACAGGAUUAGAUACCCGUGUAGUCCACGUACCA
rnacentral:rRNA from 1 species